rnacentral:tRNA from 1 species
GGCUUGAUGGUCUAGUGGUAUGAUUCCUGCUUUGGGAAACUGAAAAUCUCAAUAGCCGGGUUCAAUCCCCGGUCAAGCCC